rnacentral:rRNA from 1 species
GAGACUCUGUGCGCGUGCAUAUCAAUAAGCGGAGGGAAAAGAAACUAACAAGGAUUCCCUUAGUAACGGCGAGUGAAGCGGGAAGAGCUCAAAUUUGAAAUCUUCAAGGUUCUACCUUGACGAAUUGUAGUUUAUAGAAGUGUUUUCUGUUAGUGGAGUGGCAAAAGUUCUUUGGAAUAGGACAUCAUAGAGGGUGAGAAUCCCGUAUUUGGUCAUUCCUCCUAGCGUUGUGAUACACUUUCAACGAGUCGGAUUGUUUGGGAAUGCAGUCCAAAAUGGGUGGUAAAUUUCAUCUAAAGCUAAAUAUUGGCGAGAGACCGAUAGCGAACAAGUACCGUGAGGGAAAGAUGAAAAGAACUUUGAAAAGAGAGUUAAACAGUACGUGAAAUUGUCAAAAGGGAAGCGUUUGACACCAGUGUUGUUUUUCCGAAAAUCAAUUACGAAUGUUUUGUUUUUGAGGAGUUAUGACUUCAUCGGCUUGCUCCUUUCUUUAUGAAACUUUCUUAAUGCACUUUUCGGUUAACAAGUCAACAUCAAUUUCUUUUGUUGUAAAAGGGUAUGAGGAAGGUGGCUUUCUUUUCGGAGAAAGUGUUUAUAGCCUUGUGCCUCUACAAUCGGAGAGAUUGAGGUCUGCAGCGUAGAUCCUUCGGGGUUAGAUACGUUUGUGCUAAGUUAUAGCUUUUCAUAGACAACUUGUUGACUAUGUUUAGUCUUGUAGCUUACUCGCUGACGCUAUUUUACCUACGCUUAGGAUGUUGAACUCUAUCACACACAG